GGUCCUGCGGUGUGCUUCGCCCACCGUGUUGCCGCAGGGCGAGACCAAACGGUGAGCUAAGCAUGUAGGGCCGGGGAUGGAGUGCCUUCGGACGCGGGUUCGACUCCCGCCACCUCCACCA
rnacentral:tmRNA from 1 species